rnacentral:rRNA from 1 species
GGAGGUAGUGACAAUAAAUCACAAUGCGGGACUUCUGUUUCGCAAUUGGAUUGAGAACAACGCACAACACUUAUCGAUAAACAAUUGGAGGGCAAGUCUGGUGCCAGCAGCCGCGGUAAUUCCAGCUCCAAUAGCGUAUAUUAACGUUGUUGCAGUUAAAAAGCUCGUAGUUGAAGUGAAGUAAUGAAGUUGUGAUUUGAAAUUUUUCAUUUCGCUUCUUAAUUACUCUUUCCAAAUUGUUUGCAUGGGUAUUCAUUUAUCUGUGUAUUGCAUUUGGUCAUUUACUGUGAGAAAAUUAGAGUGUUCAAAGCAUACGUUUGUUUGAAUACAUUAGCAUGGAAUAAUUCGAAAAGGCUUUCAUGUUCGAUUUGAUUGGUUUGUUCGUGAGAGCAAGAUUAAAAGGGACAGUUGGGGGUAUUCAUAUUCAAUAGUCAGAGGUGAAAUUCUCGGAUUUAUGGAAGAUGAACA